ensembl:lncRNA
GUACAGUUGGCUUUAUUUCGUGGCGUCUGUGGCAUCACUAACUCAAUGGACACGAGUUGGAGCAAACUCCAGGAGAUAGUGAAGGACAGGGAAGCCUGGCCUGCUGCAGUUCGUGGGGUCAGAUACGACUGAGUAACAAUGGUGAAGAUCGCCUGGAGGAGGAAAUGGCAACGCACUCCAGUAUUCUUGCCUGGGAAAUCCCAUGGACAGAGGAGCCUGGUGGGCUACAGUUCAUGGGGUCCUGAAGAAUGGGACACAACUGAGGAUGCACGCAGGGUAUGGUGUAUAUAAAAGUCAAGCGAGUUAAAAUUUUACAACAGCUAGUCUUCCCAGGUGUUAAAGAGGCUGCUAGUGUAGGUCAUGAGUAACAUUAGUAAACUAGCUUUUUGUUCGUUUACCUUUUGACACUGGAUGAUGAAUUUCUAUACUUGGUCAUUAAAAUGAUGGGAGAGGAAGAAGAUGAAGGAUGGAAGGAGGGGCCUCUCCACUAGCAUCUCCAUAUCUGGACAAUAGUCUUGGAUUAUAUCCAUAGUUCUAUGUGUACAUUUUUUAUAAAGCACCUGUGUUUAUUGUGGAUAAAGCCUACUCUUUUAUUUUGCAACAUGUAAGGUUUUUGGAUGUCUCGAACUGACAAUGUAUGAUAAAAAGUGGAGUUAGUGAAUUAAUCAAGUAAAUAUCUUUAAAAAGUGAUUAGUAGAAAGGAGUAUCCUGGGUAUGGCAUUGUUAAACCACCUCUGGGCAUUGAACGUCUGCACUCGCCCAUUAGGCUGGUGGUGGGGACGAAUGUAGACAGAUGUGUUCAUAUUUGCAUUUCGAUAAUUUACGUGUGUAUACAGUUCUUUUGGCUGUACUUUAGGAAUAUAUUGUUAAAUAAUUCAGUGGAAACAUUCUUUCAUGAUAAUAUUUCAAGAGAAUAUAUGUGCUAAUGAAUUCUCUUAAGUCAUUUUAUUCUAGGGACUUCCCUGGUGGUCCAGUGGCUGGGACUCCACCCUCCAACACAGGGGGCCCUGAAUCCUGCAUGUCACAAGUAGGAGUUGUAUGCCAUAAUUCAAGAUCCUGUGUGCUGCCGCCAAAACCUGGUGCAGCCAAAUAAAUGAAUAUAUAAAAAUAGUUUUUAAAAAUUUAUUGUACUCUAUCACUUUAUGUCUCAAUCACUGUUGAGCAUAAGGGAAUGUAAUAUUUUAAUUGUAAUAUUUUUAGUAUCUUUGUGUAAGAAAUCUGUAUCAUUUUUGUCUUCUGUGACAGUUUUUGUCCUCAAGUUUUCCGGAGGAACAGAACCAGUAGGAUUGAUUAACUUAUUAGAAUUGGCUCCAGAAACAUCCAGAAACAAUGUUUAGUCUGGGUACACCAUGACCAGUCAAGUUAAUACAAAAACUUAACCAUCA